AACGAACGCUGGCGGCAGGCCUAACACAUGCAAGUCGAGCGCCCCCUUCAGAGGUCAGAGAGUUUAUGCGGUGGUUGGAGAGAUCCGAUCGUCGCGUUGGAUUUCUGAGUUCUGAUGGGGGAGCGGCGGACGGGUGAGUAACGCGUGGGAAUUUUCCUCAAGGUACGGAACAACUCAGGGAAACUUGGGCUAAUACCGUAUGAUGCAGAGAUGCC
rnacentral:rRNA from 1 species